CCACAACAACCAGCACUACCACUACACCACCACCGAAUAGCCAAUCAACGUCUUCUACAACUACUACUACAGCUUUCACCAACAAAAAUCUUUCCUAUCUGAAUCCAGUAACAUUUGUGUUCCUCGCUCUAUCAAUGUGUUUAAUGGGAACUACAGUUGGUUUGGCUACCCCCUUUUUUCUCAGACACAGAAGAGAAAGGAAAAUCGAUAGUGAGCCUCCUUAUACCAUUUCACCACCUCCGCCAUAUUUUCAGAAACAGUCAACUGAACUCAG